rfam:TPA: Bos taurus chromosome 10, whole genome shotgun sequence.
UUCCUGGCAGUCCAGUGGUUAGGACUCAGCACUUUCACUGCUGCAGCCUGGAUUCAACCCUUGGUCAGGGAA